rnacentral:lncRNA from 1 species
AGCAAGCCUUGAAACGACUUCAGGGACAUAUUCACAAAGCAAGAUUACUGAUCCAGGAUCAGGUCUCCCCCCUCAUCCAUAUAAUUAUAAUCAUUAAAACAAAAAGGCUAAAAUGGAUCCUAAAUCAGGACCCGUAUGUAUCCAUAAAAGCUUCUCUGAGUAGGAGUGCUGUUCUAGGAUCCCGUUUUGCCUUUUUAGUUCAUAAUGAGUAAGAUUGUGUGGUCAGACCCUAGAUCUGCACUCCUACUCUGAGAAGCUUCAGUGGAUAAGGGACCAGGUGUCGUCAACUCAUGGGGUACUGGUGUCCACGGAACACAAAGACUUUAUGAAAUCAGGUCUUCAGAAACUUUUUGGGGGGGAAAAAAUUCCAUGACAAUUAUUCCAAGAAAUGCUUGAAGAAAGGUUGAGGGCAACAUCAUAGCUCAUUGCUGAAAGAAAUUCCCCUCCUGGAAAGACAUAGUAGGCCUAACUAACUCAAUAAUGGUGCAUAAAAGUACAACUGAGCUCAACGGUCAGCAAUUUGAGAUGCAAAGAGAAUUGAUUAGCUGAACCGGAUUUAAUGUUGUUUUUGCCCCAGCUAAAUGUAGGUCCUUAAAUUAUCAGAAAUGACAAAACUACUGACACAGCCUUCAAGACUUGGGAAGACUGGGUGUGUAAACCAACUAAUAUUUGUGGUUUCAUAUACAGCAAGUGGGAAAAACAUAACCUCAAUAUUUGCAACUGAGGCCCUGCUAGUGUAAACAGACAGAGGGCAAGACAGCUGCUAAGGCCGUUCACAGUCGUCUGGUCGGGGCCGGCCGUUCACAGUCGUCUGGUCGGGGCCGGCCGUUCACAGUCGUCUGGUCGGGGCCGGCCGUUCACAGUCGUCUGGUCGGGGCCGGCCGUUCACAGUCGUCUGGUCGGGGCCGGCCGUUCACAGUCGUCUGGUCGGGGCUAGCUGUUCACUAUUAUACAGUUAACAGGAAAAGCAAUCAAAACUUUAAAAUAUUGUUGUUUUCAAGGGCAGGAUAACACAAGGCUACUGGUCUGGCUACACUGACCGGCUACUACUGGACAGCGCUACAACCCUACAGACUUGUCACCAAGUCCUAAGUGAAAGCUUGACGCACUGCACUUUGAGAAAUGCAGUGUUUAGGACUAGAUGGACACCAUGUUCAGAUACAUGUAACUCACAUAAGCCCUUACUUUAUAAAAAUCAAUGAAUAGGAGAAUUUCUUGACUAACUCAAAUUCUGUAAUUGUAUGCAAUAACAGUUGGCAUAGCUUGGAACACAAACGCAUCCAUAACUGCCAACUCAAAUCCAUUUAUUUUCAACCAAACAUCUGUUUUGUUUGCCCGUGAGUUCAGAACAUCUCACAGGAAGUCCUGAUGACUCACUUUACUGGAACACCUCAGAUGUCAUUUCCCCCUCGACAGGUUU